AAGGUUUUAACCCCAAGCCCAAAACAACACCCCAGACCAGACACUACCCUUUCUGCAGAGAUUAAGUGGAUAUGAGCAAGCAGGCAGACUAAUCAAGAAGAGUUCAGGAGAAUUCAGGAAGCCAGAUAUCAGUGAUAUAAACUGCGGGCAGCUCCACCAAAGUCAACACAGAUCCACCAAAGACCAGAACUGGCUUCGUGGGAAGCCCAGAACAAGAAGCAUCUCACAUGCACUGUGGUGAUUAACCAGGAGGGUGAAGUGAGAGGCUGCUCCCCCCUCCUGCCAGUGCUGCUCAGCACUCAGUGGUGGGGAGCAGGUGGGUGUCCCACCCCA